UACAGGCCCCUGCCCAGAGGGCUUGACCUGGAUAACUUCUGUUCCACAGAAGAGGACGUGUUUCCGAUAAUCUUCCAAACUGUGACAUUUCCAAGGCAUGGUGUUCUCCAUCUGGGGCAACGGUGUCUUUGUAACAGCUAAACCAAAGUCCUUGUACUGGGAGUGGGAAGAGAAUUCAAAAGGACUCAGACGUUGUGUGUCCCUGAGAGAAGAGGUGUGCACCACAGUAGAACAUGGGAACAUGCGAUAAGGUUAUGGAAGCAGCGCAAACGGCACCAGGAUCUGCCUCCCUGUCCAGGUAGAUAGGCCUCAGACAGCUCAGAGUGGAGUGAGAGCAGCAGGAAGAAGAGCUGCCCUCAAUCGGACCCCUCUCCCUGAUGUCUUGCACAUCUUAGGACACAGUCAGACAAGGGUGAGGAAGACCACCUAACUGAUGGGGACAACUGUCUGACUCAUAUUAGAUAUUCACACUGGACACUUUUAAGGAUGGCAAAAUUUGGAGCCAACAUAAAAAUUAAGUGUAGUUAUAAAAUAAAGGUAAACUUCUUGCACAGCUGAAUUUAUGACAAUAGCAUAAGGCUAAGGAGACCAGGAGGAGAAGAUCUUACCAGAAAGUGGGUACUAUUGAUGGCAAUACCAAGUAGAGAGGAAAAGGUGAUGAGGCAGGAAGGUGACGCAGCCUCAUCCAGCUUAGAAUUAUCCUUCUCAUGCCUACGGUCCUUUACAUUUGGGAGCAAAUGCCACCUCCAAUUCUGAUCCUUCCACUUGCUAGCUGAGUAUCUCUGGUCUUUUUACCUCACUCUCCUCAUUUGUGGUAUCCUAACAGCUCCUAGUCUAAUUUGUUUUAUGUCAUGAUGAAGUGAGAUAUAAAAGUUAUUUAUAAAAUGUAAGUUGCUAUAGAGAUGCUAGGAAUGAUAUUUUUAUUCUUACAUAAAUAAAGACUUCUAUCUAUGCAAAGGACCAUUUCGAUAGGGAAGAAAUACCUGAGUCAUAUUUGUGGACAAAUUCCCUAGGAAUACAUUUUCAGUUUCAGGAAUCUUACCUUAAUCCUCUGAUUGUUUAAUCAAGAUCCUUUCCACAAAUAUGUACAUGAGUGGGAGGAUCUAUGUAGGCUGUGCAGUAAAGUAUUUAGACCAUAGUGGGAUUUAGAUCUUUCUGAAUAAGUUAACAAAAAAGAAAUAAUGUAUUUUUGCUUCAUGUGUCUGUCUCUGAAACUGGCCUCUAUCAGUACUUAAGUUACACAGAUAUUAGUGCUGAUGACUUCAUUUUUCCAAAAAGGGAAACUAGAAGAAGCCACUUGUCAUUUAAGGCCAUUUUGGGUCCAUUUUGCACAUUUGUUGAAAGGCAGCGUUGUUUGUCAUUUCUAUUUCUCUGGAACUCUCUGAGUUUUCCUGGGAAUCAAGGCAAGUUCUGUGCACCCCUGACAGUGAAAGCAGAGAGGGCAGCCCAAGGGCAAUGAGACUUUCUGUGUUUCCUCCCCAUGUUUGCUCACUGCCACACUCUCUGUUACCAAUGAGAGAAGCCAUUCUUCAUUGUCAGGCUGCUGGGAGGUGUGAGGCAGCUGCUGUGUUUGCGUGAGAAGGACAGUUUUCCUUGGGCUUGAGGUUUAUAGGUUGGAUACUAUGGCAACAUUCUGGGUAAAAGAUAUGAUCAGUAUGCAAAUCCUCAUCACUAUCAUUAUAGGACACAUUUCAACACAUUAAAGGAGUAUUUUGUAAUUAUUCUGAACAUAUUGAUGUUUACUACAUUUUCUUAUCUCAAUUUUGAGUUAAGCAGACCAAUUUUAAUGUAAAAGCUGCUUGUGUUGAACAAUUUAGGGAUAGAUAAUGAACUCUUACUACAUUUAAGUCAUGUUAAAACAUUUUCCCUAUCUUUAUACCAUUUGGAAAUGGAAAAACUGAACAGUCUGUAAGCGUGAAAGACAAAUAGUUUGUGUUUUUGUGUUGCUGUA